AUGCUAGAGAGGAAAUGGGGAGUGGUGAGAAACAUCAGAGAGGAGGAGGGGACGGGGAAGGUUGGGGAGGAACUGGAGCUGCUCCUCGGUCGCAGAGCAUCGAUGCAGCCCCGGCAGUCCUGCAACAUUGGGGCACUGCUCUUUGGCCCCAUGGUCCUGUCUCUGGGACUCCUGCUCCAUGCUCAGCAAGCUGUCAGCCAGGAGCUCUGUGAAGCCCCAGGUCAUCUCCCAGCCCCCAGCAUCUUUCUGAGCCCCACAGCAGCCCGGCUGGGUGAAACUGUGCAGCUCCAGUGCACGGUGGACACCAGCGGCCACAUCAGCCGUAUCAUCUUCUGCCACAACGGGCAGGAGGCGAGUGCCAUGAAGGGUGAAAAAAAGAGCAUCUACAACCACUACGAGAGUGUGUCCGCAGCCAGUUCUGGCAACUACUCUUGUGGAUAUGAGAUCCGAGACAUCAUGAACCGGGUAACCCGAUCUCAGUUCAGCCCUGUGCAACAUCUGCACAUCCAAGGUGACAAGCCUGAAGGCACCCACACUGCUGCAGGGCCCAGCGAGGAGCCGACUCUGGCAGGCCAACGUUUCGUCCUCAGCCUGGGCAUUUCAGUUCCUUGUAUCCUGCUUCUGGCUGCACUGGGAUGCCUGAUAAUUAGGAAAGGUCUGUUGGAGGGCACCAUCCUUGCCUGGGGGACGGUGGGUGAAGGGUUGGCAUGGGGAGGGCGAGUGUCUUUGGCACAGCUGGGCUUGUGCCUUCACCCCCAAAUCUCCAGGAGCUGGGGCGUGAACGGCAUCCCGCCAUGGGGGAGGUGGGCAAAGCUGCUGCGAGAGCAGCUGAAAUGGUUUGCACAGGGGCAGUGAGGAAAAGCGUUUGCUCUUGCAGAUUCACUCCUGUCCUCUUUUUCAGAGGUUCCUGGCUUCUGGACUAAGAGGUAGGCGCCAGCAUCAGGCAAGAGGUCAGACACGUACCAGGGGAUAGGGAGAGCCAGGAGACAGGGGACGCAUGAGGCCCCUCAAUGAGGGAGGUUCCUGGCAAUGCCAAACACUUCCUUCCUCCUGUCUCCUUCCCUUCCAGACAUGGAAGGCAGGAAAAUGCCUUUCCGUUAGCAAUUCUGGUCCUAAAACCCCAUUGCAGUGGGGACAUCUGUGCUCCUGAAUCUCAGCAAAGUCCUUCCAAGGCCAAGCCUGCAAGACAGUUGCUAGUUGCUGUCCGAUAAUCCCCCAUGCUCCCUGGAGCUCCCUGCCUUGUAUUUUGGGAUUAGCCCUGAUGUCCAAGCGGAAGACUUGCGGAAGGCUGGGGGUGGCUGAGGCACGGAGGAGGAGAUGUCCCUGUGGGGCUGGAUGGGGUUAUAUCAUUGCUUCUUCCUCCCUUAUAGGGGCCAGAGCAAGCAGGAGGACACUCCAGAAGACGAAGUUCAAUGUAAGGAGCCUGAAACCCUGGGGGAGGCCUUGUGGGAGAGACCAAAGGAGCUAUAUGGAGGCAUGAGGCCAGUGGGAGGUGCAGCAGGGUCGGCCAGUGGCCAGCAACCUGCUGUGCACCCUUUUGGCAAUGAAGGCCAAGCACACCAGGGGCUGCCUUGGGAAGGGCAAUGCCAAGAGGUUGAGGAGGGGAUUAUUGCCCCAUAUUGGGUACUCUUAAGGCCACAUUCAGAUACUGGGCUCCCCAGUAUUAGAAAGGUGAUGACAUUUCUCUCCUCUCCCCAGAUGCCUCCAUCACUGUUGCACGAACUUCCAAGGUGAGUCUUGGAUUUUAGUGGCACCAACUAAGAGAAGCUCCCAACCCCGGUCUCUGCAGGGGCCCUGGCUGGGACAUUGGAUGGACUCCUGCCCCAUAGCAUAGGUCUUGGAAAGCCUUCCCCCACCCAGGCAGCACCCACUCUUUCAUGGAGGCCACCCAUCACGGGGAGAUGCUCAUCACCAGGCCAGGCUACUGGGCAGGGUUGUUUUGGGAAGGGUCUCAGCAAACCUCCUGGGUCGAGGGGUGUUCGUGCAGCCAGUGAUGCACUUGGGGGUUCCUGCUCAGCCCUGAUUCCUCACCAUCUUCUGUGCUUUCAGGAGUGGUUGGCAGAGCAAUAUUUUCUCUGUUGCAUUUACAGCCAGCUUGCCCACCAGAAGAUACGACAUCGACGUACGCAGCCAUUGCACCACGGAGGAACCAGUAUCAUUAAGGCAUGGCAAGGUGGUAUCAGGAGCACACGGGAGCUGGGAUCAUCGGUAGAAGGCCCUGGCUUGUCUGUGGUCCUCUGCCAGGCUCGUGCACCCAGCAACAUCCCUGUGCGUCUCCCCUGAAGGAGCAUUUCAUCCGCACCCACUUCCUGCUCCACUUUCUUCCUUCUUGUCCUUGCCUCCAUCCAUGAGCAAACUCCACAUCCUCUGCUCCAGUGAGAGGUUUCUCCACCAAUAUUUUGCAUACCUGAAUGAAAUCCUGAGAUGGGCUUAGAAAUCUCACUUUUUUUUUUUUUUAGGAUUUUUUUUGCAGCAUCUCCUUGACCUUACUGGCAUAUCGGCUAGAAGCAGUGAGACAUUUACAUCCAAAACAGAGAUGCUCACACAACCCUGUGCUAUCAGGCCCAGGCUAGAGGAAGGACAUCCAGUCUUGACAAUGUACAGCAAAAUUAGAAACUUCAGCAACACUCGGACUUAUUGCAUCGUGGCACUAUUGUUGACUGCCCUGUAACGCAGCUCUGCAGCUUUGGGGAUGCUGUUUAUUUUACAGGUCCCUUUUAACAAGUCUUCAUAGACAGCGUUGCCCAAUGUCCAUUGAUCCCAGCAGGAGCUUUGAGACCCCAUCCUACAUGCAGUCCCCAAAACUGAGGGCUCUUCUUUUCUGCAACUGAACCACCUCCCCUUGGGACUCUAUCCAGAGGAUGUAAACCCUGGAAAUAGCAGCUCUGCAAGGUGUUUGCAGGAGCUGCGCGCCCUUGGCAACACAACUGCUGUUAUUGCUUGGUGUGUGCCAAGCCCUCGUGGUCACGGCAGCUCCAGAGGGAUUGUGGGGACCGAUAUUGUUUGUCUCAGUCCAGCUGCAAAUUGCAGAGCGCUGGAUUUUCAUCCUCGGCAGGUCGAUUUAGUCUCUUGUCCUUGGGAUUCAUUUUUACCCGCUUGCUAGGAAGGGAAACACUGAUCUCAGCCUGCACUUUCCCCUCUCUCCAUUGCUAAACUUUCACUUUGGCCCAGGGAUUUCAUUUCCCUGUUUCUAUGACCAGAAACUUUGCCUGUGCAUGGCACAGUUGAAAAUCUUCAAUAAAAUCUGCUUUUAAUGAGGAAAACCCCA
rnacentral:lncRNA from 1 species